AUUGAACGCUGGCGGCAUGCCUUACACAUGCAAGUCGAACGGUAACGCGGGGCAACCUGGCGACGAGUGGCGAACGGGUGAGUAAUACAUCGGAACGUGCCCAGUAGUGGGGGAUAGCCCGGCGAAAGCCGGAUUAAUACCGCAUACGACCUACGGGUGAAAGCGGGGGACCGCAAGACCUCGCGCUAUUGGAGCGGCCGAUGUCAGAUUAGCUAGUUGGUGGGGUAAAAGCCUACCAAGGCGACGAUCUGUAGCUGGUCUGAGAGGACGACCAGCCACACUGGGACUGAGCAACGGCCCAGACUCCUACGGGAGGCAGCAGUGGGGAAUUUUGGACAAUGGGGGCAACCCUGAUCCAGCCAUGCCGCGUGCGGGAAGAAGGCCUUCGGGUUGUAAACCGCUUUUGUCGGGGAAGAAACGGUCUGCGCUAAUACCGCGGACUAAUGACGGUACCCGAAGAAUAAGCACCGGCUAACUACGUGCCAGCAGCCGCCGCGGUAA
rnacentral:rRNA from 1 species